GGACGUCCUAGAUAGCCUCGCCAUGCGGUCGACGAAGGCUUCGGCCUUAGUGGCGCACGGGUGCGUAACGCGUGGGAAUCUGCCCCUUGGUUCGGAAUAACAGUUGGAAACGACUGCUAAUACCGGAUGACGACGUAAGUCCAAAGAUUUAUCGCCGAGGGAUGAGCCCGCGUAGGAUUAGCUAGUUGGUGGGGUAAAGGCCUACCAAGGCGACGAUCCUUAGCUGGUCUGAGAGGAUGAUCAGCCACACUGGGACUGAGACACGGCCCAGACUCCUACGGGAGGCAGCAGUGGGGAAUAUUGGACAAUGGGCGAAAGCCUGAUCCAGCAAUGCCGCGUGAGUGAUGAAGGCCUUAGGGUUGUAAAGCUCUUUUACCCGGGAUGAUAAUGACAGUACCGGGAGAAUAAGCUCCGGCUAACUCCGUGCCAGCAGCCGCGGUAAUACGGAGGGAGCUAGCGUUAUUCGGAAUUACUGGGCGUAAAGCGCACGUAGGCGGCUUUGUAAGUUAGAGGUGAAAGCCUGGAGCUCAACUCCAGAAUUGCCUUUAAGACUGCAUCGCUCGAAUCCAGGAGAGGUGAGUGGAAUUCCGAGUGUAGAGGUGAAAUUCGUAGAUAUUCGGAAGAACACCAGUGGCGAAGGCGGCUCACUG
rnacentral:rRNA from 1 species